AAAACAAUCUCGAUAACCGUUUAGAUUAGCAAAUACAAGCAUCAAAAUUCACAAAGCGGGAAACGAGAUCAUGACUCAAUCCGGGAAACGAAAUCGUCGAUUUGAAAGCAACGGUUCCAACCCGGAGGUGCGCUGCAAGAAAUCUCCGAGUUCUUCAUAAUACGUGUACUGAUUAGUUCUUAAACCAGGCUCAAACUCCUCGUUUUCAAUCUAGGUAAAUUACUUCUCAAGAACACCUCGAUUUUAUGUUAACUGUUUAGAUUAGACCUGUACAAAUCCAAAUGGUACUGCUACAAAAUUAUAAAAUAAUUAUCUCAAAUUAGUUUUUAAUGCUGAUAAAGUGACUUAGUUUGUUGGCUUAUCUAGGGUUGCUUGAAUUUAGUGUUUUUGUUGUAUGAAACUGAUUAGGGUUGAUCUUAUUCCAAUGUAUAAGGUUGAAUUCUGAGCAAGUAUUCGUGAAACAGAUUAUUCUUACAGCCAAAAUAAACACAACAUUUACUAUUUCAAUAAUUUUAAUUUUAAGCUGCUUGAAUUUCAAAACAUUCUAUGGUUUUAUUUUCUUUAGUUUUCACCAGAAAGAAACCAAUAAACCAAACCAUGUGUACAAUUGUUAUAUAAUUACCAUUCAGCAAGUUGUGUACACUACACAUUCACAUUUACUUAAGCCAAAUGAAUCCAAAGUUUCAUUUUUGGUUUGGAAAGGGAUCAUGGAAUUUUUUAAAUAAAGGGAAAUUGACAUUGAAAGCGAAUGUAUCUAUCAUUUGGUAAUUUAACCAUAAACUUUGCAAAUAUUACCAUUUUCUUAUAUAGGUUAUGGUAAAGAAAUAUCUGUAUUUUGAAAUAUGAUUAACUCUAAUGUUCGAUUUGGAGCAAUUGGCGUUAUAAAAAUUAUUGCAUUGAUGUUAAUUGGGUUGCUCAAUUAGUCAUUGUUGCCAUUUCUCAAAAGUCUUCAGAAAAGCAUCAGUUUAAAGUGAACGUGACUCAACCAAACCCAAUAAAGUAAAUAAUAUUCACUAUGAUAUUUUAAGUGUUUGAUAACUUAUAUAAAUUUGUUGAAAGUAACAUAUGGGUGAUGAGUAGCAUUUUCUUCUUCAUGGUAAUGAUGGAAAAGAGGUUUUAGUGUGUGUCUUUAUGUCUAAAAUAUGUUACGGAUUUCAUUUGGGAUGUUUGUGCCAAAAACCCACUAUGCCUCUAAAAGGCUAAGGCAAUUGGGAAUAUGAUUCUCUUCGUUUGAAAAUGGGUGAAAUAUAUCAUAAUGAAUUCAAAAUAGGAAAACAAAGCAAAAAACCUUCCUACUUGUUUCUUUUUAACACAAUGCAGGGCUCUCUUCUUUAUUAUUUUCAUCGGUUGCACUGUAUAACAUAAACUUUGAAUCUAGAGGCUAAAAAUUAUUAAACACUAUCUCGUUUUAGAUCAAGUAAAUUAGAAAAAAAAAAAAUCAAAAAGCUUCCUACUUGUUAGCUUUUAAUGAUAUAUUAUAAGUGGGUCUCACGUAUGUUAAAACUUUUAUCUUUUUUGCACUUAAUUAUUUUCCCAAUCAUAAAACCUUUUACUAGUUAUGUUUCUAGUUAGAUGUCUAGAAUAGUACUUUUAGAAACAAAAUUGUCGAUAAUUUGUAUGCUUAUUAUCUUUCGGGAAAAUAGCAUAGAAUGAAACAUACUUUAUAUGAGUUAAUAUUUUAGGAUCAUACUUGUAAAACGUAUAUAAAAAAGGCCUAUAGUUUGAAAAAUACAUAUUUUUGGGCCAUAUUAGGAAACCAAUUUUUAUUGAUGUGACAUAGGUUCGGGUUAACGUGGCGGCAUUCACAUGGAACACUUCUAGUCAGAUUGUUUAUUGUACUUUCAAAGCUUACAUUUAGGUGUAUAUAUAUAGUUUGAAAAACACACAUUCAUGGCUUUAAAUAUGAGAAAAUGGAUUUUAAUAAGUCGAUGUUUUUAAUUCAUUUUUAAUUAGUUUUUACAGUUGAAGUGUAUUUUUUUUUAAUUAUCAAAUAGGUUCUCUUAAAAAUAUUUAUUAUAGUUGAUUACUUGUCUUCAUUUACUCAUCUUUUUCAUUCUGAUCAUGAUUUUCAUUUUUCAUAUUUUUUUAAUAAUUAAAUUCAAGAACAUGUCGGCAAAAAUAAAAUAUCCUGUUUUGUACAAGUAGUCCUUUUUGUUCAUUAAUAUUCUAUUUUACUCCUCUUAUUUAAAGCUUUAUUGUUUUUGAUUAAUCUGUUUUUUCACUUUGAUCUCCAAUAUUGAAUAUUAAAUUCGUAAUGGUUACAUAAUAUUUUUAUGGUUUUUUGUUUUUAUGAUUAUAUACGUAAUGUAUUGUCACAAGAUAAAAGCGAAAUAUGAACUCCGGAUUUAAUAGUAUUUAUUUUAAUUUUGUGUAUCAUAAAAUAUUCCACAAGGAUGGGGGCAAAUUAGUUAAUUUAAAAAAGAAAAAAACUAUUAAAAGUGAUCAAUGAUUGGAGAAAGUUUAAAUUAAUAUCAUUUUUCUUGAUAAAGUUAGUGAGAAGAUGAUGUGUCAAAGCAAAAAAAUAUGCACAAGGUUGAUGAUCGGAGAUGCUUUUAUAUGGGUUAUGGUAUUAUAUGGAGGCGCUCACUCAUAAAUUAAGUGUUGGGUAACUACGUAUGCUUAUCUACCCAAAAUAGCAACGUGCUUACAAAAUUUUCUCUAUAAAAAAAAUAUGAAACUUAAAACUUGUAAAACAUAGCAAAAUACAUAAAUUUGUUUACCCAUAAUAACAAAGCAUUCACAAUUUAAUGUUACUAAUAAAGAUAAGAAAAAAAGGACAUUGACCAUAUAUAUUGAUCCCUUUUUACUUUUGUAUAAAGAAAACGUUACAAAUAUAUGCAAUGAAUGAUAGUGAGCAACUUUAUACGUCUUCCUAACAAUGUGGUAAAAUGUAAUUUGUUUUUUUACCCGUAAUUAAAUUUCUUUAAACAUAAUACCAAUGUACCUAUCAUUUUCUUAUCCAUAAUAACAACAUUCUUAUAUUUCUUUACAGUAAUCAUACCCAACUGAAAGCUAUAGGACUACUCACAACAUAUUUUCCUCCGGACCACUUUAGAUGACCAAAUCCAGUAGACCCCGAUUGCAUGGAACUAGCUGUAAAUGUAACAGUAUACACCUUUUUCUCACCUUGCUUCGUGAAA
rnacentral:lncRNA from 1 species